CGGGUGCAAGAGCGCGGUCUGUUUACUGUAACAGUUGUUAUACUGCAGUUUCAGGAAGUAAAGUGUUCCGUUCAAAACCAGACGUGUCUUGGUUGUCAAUUAGAAGCUCCACUUCACAACAUUUUGGUGCCGAAACCCGGGAAGUCAUGACUGUGAGACUUUAAACUUUAUUGAACACGUCCUGUUAUUAUUAAUAAGAGUGUAGCCGGCAAUGAAAUGUCCCUCCUGGGCUACUGUGGAGCUGGGUAGGCAUUAGCCCCUCCUACUUCCUGGUUCCCAAUUUGUUUGUUCCACCAUAAAUAGCCAUACCAUGAGCUGCGUCUUUCCCUCUCUCUGACCUCCAGGCUCUCGGUCCAGCUCCAAAGAGACUUCCACUUCCCCGUCAAGCCCUCCAGAUGGAUGUUGUGCAGUGAGCAGGCAGGAGACGUUGACUGCCACUGCUAUUUUGUUUAACUUAUCAAUUUAGUUGUAUUCAUGGUUACAUGAAUACAAUGUUUUGCUUGGUUUUGCCUCUAUUAUAACCUGUGCCAGGUAUAUUAGAUAUAUACAUUUUUAUUGUCUUUUAACAUAUUAAAUUGUUGUUUGUUGUAAUAAAUGUUUUAAUCUUGG